AUUGGUUGGAGCCAGCAGCAACUAGGCUUCUGACUGUAUGGUAGAAACAGAGAUGCAGAGCAUGAGAAAGACCACAGCACUGAAGCUUCCUUUGAUGCAGUAAAGCCUGAGCCCAGCAAAUGGCAAGGCGGCGUACUACCCAACCACCAGGUUCCAGAUCCCAGCAUGAUGCCGACCAGACUUCCCUGGACUGACGACCCCACCAAUAUGUCCUGGAGCCCCGCUUCCCCAGAGCCCCAUCCUACUAGGGAAAGAGAGAGGCAGACUGGGAGUAUGGACCGACCAG